UCAUCUUCCCACAGCUAGGGGCGGUAAACAGCAGCGUGAUCGAGAGAGAUCACUCAGCAAGAAGAACUGCAGCACUUCAUCAGUUCGGAUGUUGCACGAUUUCGCAAUUCAACGCGAUUCUGCGGUCGACACACAACAGUAAUUUUGAAUUAAGUCUGGGAAUAGUAGUAUUUGUUGUGACUGAAGUAGUCAGACUGAUCUGGACUAUGUAGUACGCAGUUAUCAGGUUUUAAAGACAGAAUAAAGAGUAAAUGAGAGGUGUCAGUCGGUCUGUUGUCAUAUGAAAUACUGGUGCAUGCUGUGGCAGAAGCGAUGGGCAGUGUUACAGCAAUGACAGUGUUUUUCCUCUGGACACAGCCAGAAUCAGACUGCAGGAUUGUCUCUCUAUCGUGGCUGGUUUCCUGUCAUAUCGAGUCUGUGCUGCUCUAACUUUGUCUACUUCUACACGUUCAACACACUGAAGAGGGGGAUGAUCUCGGACAAGUCCA